AGAGAAAACUGCAAGUCAUCAACCUGCAAUGGAGUAUUUGAAAGGCAGAAUCCUAGUAUUAGCUGGAGAGGUACAAGUACAAAAAGGGACAGAGAAUGGGAAAAGUGGGGAGUUCUGUCCCAGAAGAAGCAACAUCAGGCUUCAUUGAGGACAUGAAGGAACGAUAUCUGGUACUAAUGGACAAGCUGCUUGUAGCCUUGACUAACAUACAAAGCACUUUGCAAAAAUCAGUGACAACAAGUGUCAUCAAAAUAACAGAAGACCAUAAGAACAGCC